CACUGAACGGCUUUUCGCCGUUUUCAGAAUUGGGUUCCGAAGGUCGCUAUGCUGAGCCAUCAGAUUUAACAGAUAAUAGUAUGACCCCAGAUGAAGAGCGGAAGUGGGGGAUGUAACAGUUGACUGACUUCCAUCGGAGCUCCAUUCACUGCCCCGAGGCUUUCAAUUAAGGAAGGAAAUAUGGUUUCAAUCUGGGACUGAAAGGACGGGCCCUCCCUCCUACCAACUGCAUUCAGCAGUGCCCAUUUCAGCCAAAACCACCUCUGCCCCUCCCCGUCCUCUCAAGAGGGAUUCUGCGUUAUUGGCUUGAUCCCCCAGCAGACACCCCAACUGGACUCUUCACAUUUGUUUCCUACAACAUAGCCUCUGAAGCCUUGCAGCCAUGGCGGCUGCAACUCUUGUUGCCACGGAAACUAAUGUUUAUGUUUGUAUCUAUGCAGACUGUUUCUAUCAGAUUUUAUUCUGCUCGGCAGCUGUUGUAAGUCAUUCCACCAAGAUGGACGGCGGUGAUAGGAAACAAAGCCUUCCUUCUCCUUCGAGGGGAAUUUCAUCAGGAGGCCUGGAGUCUGAAGAUGUUCAAAGGGAAAACAAACCGGGUUUGGAGGGUGGUUUUACACAGAGGUGGGAUCUGGGAUGACGCGUGCUUAAAGCAGGGGCCCUACCUACAAUUAAACUCUUGCUCUGCAAAAC
rnacentral:lncRNA from 1 species